UACGGAGGGUGCAAGCGUUGUCCGGAAUCACUGGGCGUAAAGGGCUCGUAGGCGGCCAACUAAGUCAGACGUGAAACCCCUCGGCUUAACCGGGGAACUGCAUCUGAUACUGGAUGGCUUGAGUUCGGGAGAGGGAUGCGGAAUUCCAGGUGUAGCGGUGAAAUGCGUAGAUAUCUGGAGGAACACCGGUGGCGAAGGCGGCAUCCUGGACCGACACUGACGCUGAGGAGCGAAAGCCAGGGGAGCAAACGGG
rnacentral:rRNA from 1 species